AGGCUGAUGAAGAUUAUCUGUAUUAAAAGAACACCAUCUUUCGGGACUGAAUGACUUUUUCGAAAGUUUUAAUGUUAAUUCUACAAUUUCUGAAGCUA